GCCAAGGAGAGAGGGCAGGCAAGGAGACUCCGGGCCAGGGUCGCGGCGGGAAUUUCCAAGAAUUGGAUCUUCGGUGGCGUCGGGAUCGCUAGCGGUGUCUGCUUUUCCCAUCGAGGGUUCCCAGGACAGGACAAGGAUUUAGGGGGUUGCACACCUUGGUUUUUUUGUUUGUUCGUUUUUUAAGGGGGAGGAAGGAGUAAGGGAGGGAGCAGAAUGGAUAGAAUACUGACUGGGACGUUAACUGGAGCAUUUUAGAUGCGAAGAGCAGAAUGACAGUUUCAUAUUCUUCUUUCUUCAGUUGCUGCAUUAGGUUAACUUCAUUUUCGAAUGCUCAAUUUUGAAACUAGCCAGUGUGUGUGGCAGGAUUUUACUGAACUUGGGGGUGAGAAUUUGAUCCAAUCCAGGUGCAUUUUAAUUGGGUCACGCGAUUCAACCACAGUUACACGAUGGAAUUUCUGAAGACUUGUGUACUUAGAAGAAAUGCAUGUACCGCGGUUUGCUUCUGGAGAAACAAAGUUAUACAAAAGCCUUCAAACAGAAAGAUUAGUACUACCUCUCCAAGGAGCACUGUUAUGCCCGCUUGGGUGAUAGAUAAAUACGGGAACAAUGAAGUGCUUCGAUUCACUCAGAACAUGAUGCUACCUAUCAUACACUAUCCAAAUGAAGUCAUUAUCAAAGUCCAUGCUGCGAGUGUAAAUCCUAUAGAUGUUAAUAUGAGAAGUGGUUAUGGAGCUACAGCUUUAAAUAUGAAGCGUGAUCCUUUACAUAUUAAAACCAAAGGUGAAGAAUUUCCUCUGACUCUGGGCCGGGACGUGUCUGGCGUGGUGAUGGAGUGUGGGCUGGAUGUGAAGUACUUCAAGCCUGGAGAUGAGGUCUGGGCUGCAGUUCCUCCUUGGAAACAAGGCACUUUCUCAGAGUUUGUUGUAGUCAGUGGGAAUGAGGUCUCUCACAAGCCCAAAUCACUCACUCAUAUCCAAGCCGCCUCUUUGCCGUAUGUGGCUCUCACAGCCUGGUCUGCCAUAAACAAGGUUGGUGGCCUGAAUGACAAGAAUUGCACAGGAAAACGUGUUUUAAUCUUAGGUGCUUCUGGUGGUGUUGGUACUUUCGCUAUACAGAUAAUGAAAGCAUGGAAUGCACAUGUGACAGCAGUUUGCUCUCAAGAUGCCAGUGAACUUGUAAGGAAGCUUGGGGCCAAUGAUGUAAUUGAUUACAAAUCUGGAAAUGUGGAAGAGCAGUUGAAAUCCGUAAAACCGUUUGAUUUUAUCCUUGAUAAUGUUGGCGGAUCCACCGAAACGUGGGCUCUGAAUUUUCUCAAGAAAUGGUCAGGAGCCACCUAUGUGACUUUGGUGACUCCUUUCCUACUGAACAUGGACCGAUUGGGCAUAGCAGAUGGCAUGUUGCAGACAGGAGUCACUGUGGGUUCUAAGGCAUUAAAGCAUUUCUGGCAAGGAGUUCAUUAUCGCUGGGCCUUUUUCAUGGCCAGUGGUCCAUGCCUAGAUGACAUCGCAGAACUGGUGGAUGAAGGAAAGCUUGGCAGAUAACUGGUAGAAUGGCUAGAAGAGGACACAAAGAACAAAGAUGCCCUUGAAGUGUCCUUGAAGGAGGAUUCAGCCAGUUAUUGAACAAACCUUUCCUUUUUCUAAAGUUCCAGAAGCCCUUCUGAAGGUGGAAAGGGGACAUGCACGAGGAAAGACUGUAAUUAAUGUCAUUUAAAUAAAUACGCAGUUUUGUGGUU